rnacentral:rRNA from 1 species
GAAUCAACGUGUGCUUUCCCUGUCCGGUAGGACUGGGUAACCCGUUGAACCUCCUUCGUGAUAGGGAUAGGGGCUUGUAAUUGUUCCCCUUGAACGAGGAAUGCCUAGUAAGCGCGAGUCAUCAGCUCGUGUUGAUUACAUCCCUGGCCUUUGUACACACCGCCCGUCGCUGCUACCGAUUGAAUGAUUUAGUGAGGUCUUCGGACUGGCGCCCGCACUCGGCCUCCGGCCGGGCCGUGGUGCCGGAAAGAUGACCGAACUUGAUCAUUUAGAGGAAGCAAAAGUCGUAACAAGGUAGCC